ACUGGAUUGGAAGAGUAAACUAGGAGAUUUUUUUUUUAAUUGAGGGAAUAAAUUUUACUUUUUAGUAAAAAGGCUAAAAUAAGACUUUUAGACAAGAAGACCCUAUAAAACUUUAUAUUUUUUUGUUUUUAUUUAAAAGGAAAAAUAUUACACUGGGGCGGUGGAGGAAUUAGACUUCCUUUAAAAAAAUUAACAGGCUUGUUUUAAUACCUAAAAAUUUUAAAAAAGAAAUAAGUUACUUUAGGGAUAACAGCUUAAUUCACUUAAAAAGUUCUAAUCGACAAGUGAGUUUAUGA
rnacentral:rRNA from 1 species